rnacentral:rRNA from 1 species
AGGGUUUGAUUAUGGCUCAGGAUGAACGCUGGCGGCGCGCCUAACACAUGCAAGUCGAACGAGUAAGACGCCUUCGGGCGUGGAUAGAGUGGCGAACGGGUGAGUAACACGUGACCAACCUGCCCCCUCCUCCGGGACAACCUCGGGAAACCGAGGCUAAUACCGGAUACUCCGGGCCCCCCGCAUGGGGGGCCCGGGAAAGCCCUGGCGGGAGGGGAUGGGGUCGCGGCCCAUCAGGUAGACGGCGGGGUAACGGCCCACCGUGCCUGCAACGGGUAGCCGGGCUGAGAGGCCGAUCGGCCACAUUGGGACUGAGACACGGCCCAG